rfam:Dipodomys ordii contig_16557, whole genome shotgun sequence.
UGGCUCAGUGGUAGAGUGCUUGCCUCGCAUGCAUGAGACCCUGGGUUCGAUUCCUCAG